CCUUUCAUAUUGUAAAUGAGUAAAGAAAACACCAUCAAAGUUACAUUUCUGCUUAAUUUCAUUAAGUAUUUGGCAAAUUUAAUAAAAUUCACAUUCUAUUUUCAUAUUCAUUUAGAGUUAUCUAUACCAUUAUGUACCAUGUAGAUGAGUGACAAUUCAGGCAAUGAAUAAAGGGCUAUAAGAAGACACUGGCAGGCCCGGCGCGGUGGCUCACGCCUGUAAUCCCAGCACUUUGGGAGGCUGAGGCGGGUGGAUCACGAGGUCAAGAGAUCGAGACCAUCCUGGUCAACAUGUGGUGAAACCCUGUUUCUACUAAAAGUACAAAAAAAAAUUAGCUGGGCAUGGUGGUGCGUGCCUGUAAUCCCAGCUACUCGGGAGGCUGAGGCAGGAGAAUUGCCUGAACCCAGGAGGCGGAAGUUGCAGUGAGCCGAGAUCGCGCCAUUGCAUUCCAGCCUGGGUAACAAGAGGGAAACUCCGUCUCAAAAAAAAAGAAGACACUGGCAUCCCUCUCAACAGAGGAAGAGACUCUAUGUCCUACUCUGAGUCCUUCCUUACUCAAGGAGGAGUCUAAAGACCUUUUAUGGACUUGGAGCUACAUGAUGAAAGAUGCAUCAAAAAAACCCCAGUAAUAUGAAGACAUAAGAAAGAGGAGUGCCUGUUGGAUUUGGAACCUCCAAAUGACCCAAAAGCAAGAAAGUAGAAGACGUUUCCUGAUCAAAUAAAAGAAUUUAGAGAAAAUGUUUCAAGAUGCUCUACUGGAAAAGCUGUCCGGGUGCCUAUAGCUAAUUUAUCUAAUUGCCAUUCUCACUCUUACAUUCAAAACUUCCGCAAUGAACAUAAAACACAACUAAUUAUGACCAGCCGAAAAGGAAGUCUAAAAUAAUCAAAUAAGAAACUGAGAACAUGCUUUUAAAAAAAAAAGUUAGAGAAAAAACACAAAACCACUCAUAAUUAAUAUUUGCAGAGAAACAAGAGAUGACCAGAUAUCCACAACACAAGAACCAUAGCCAAAACAAAUAAAGCAGAGUAAGAAAAAUGUCUUAGAAAUUAGAAGAUGGCAAUGGAGGAAUAUAGAGUAUCUUUGAAAAAACAUUCUAGAAAGUAGAAAAGGCAAACAAAUUCAAGAGAGGAAGAAAAAUGAGGGAAUUAAAGAUCAAACAAGAAGAUCUCAGGAUCCAAAUGAUGGGGAUUAUAGAUGGCAAAACUUGAAGAGAAGUAAUUAUGUUAUUAAAGUUGUAGGAUGGUAGUUAUAUCUAAGAAUCCUAAGUAAACAUAAUCACAUUAUAAUUUAAUUUUAGCAAAUCAGGGAUGAAAAGACAAUCCUGCUAGCUGCUGGAAGGAGAAUAGAGUAAGAAGCAGAAUAGCAUCAUCAGAAGCAAUGUUUGAAAGUAAAGGACAAUAAAACAAUGCCUUCAAAAUUCUGAGACUAUUAGCAUUCCAUACGAUUUGCAUUUUGUGAAGCAGAGUGCAGUGGGGAACUAAAUUAUCGAACACAUGGCAUUGGUUUUUCUCAGAAGAGUUCUGAUUCAUGUUUAUGGUUCCAGUAUUAUUUUUAAUAGUCUCUCUCCAACUUACAAAUUGUUAAGGUAAUAAAAGAAGCUUUAUAGGCUUUCUUCUUUAGCCCAAGUUCUAAUUUUUUUCUGAUGGUCAAUUCCAAAAUUAAUUAUCUUCUUACACCCCCACCUCAAACCAUCCUUUGAGCAUUCAAAUAAGGUAGAGAGAGAGGUAAGGGACUCAACAAUAUGGCAGCUCUAAUGAGGUUCCUUACCUCCUGCUUGGACCAAUAGGCUCUUGGACUUGUCAUUCAGCUGGAUGAACAGGGAAAAUCCACAAAUAGCUUAAAAGAAACACCUCAGACAGCCUAGCCUCAAGCUUGAUUUCCCCAAUGGAAUGUUAGAGACCAUGACAAAAGGAGAGGCUUAAAAUGUGCUUCUGUGACAGUUCACAGUUCCCUGCUUCUUUCUUGCCUUGGGUAGCCCAUUGGUCAAAGAAGAAAGACAUGGAGCAUGGCACCUCUUACUUCCAAACCUUCAGCCCAAAGGCAGAGUCACUCAGAUAUUCAGAAAUAGAUACUUUUUAAUGGGUAGUAUAUACCAUCGAUAAUGUGUGUGUUUAGAAAUAACUGAUAGCCAACUGAGUGACCAUGCAAUCAUGCUACCUAAGCACAUGUUAAGCCUUUGCUCUUGUCUUGUCCACCAACAUCCCAUUGACCAAACCAAGGUUGAGGUUCGGCUUCCUAUGAGGUUUCUUCUUUCAAGCUAUUUGUGGAUUUCCCCUGGUCAUACACCAGAAUGACAAUAACUAAAUUUCUAAUGACAGAAUCUUUCAUAAUUUCUACUGUCAGAAUCACUUAAGUGCCUAAUGACAAUAUAUGUUAAAGCCCAAAAUACAGUUAAACAAUAAUUUAUCCUCAGAAAGAUUUAUGAGAAAAGAAUGUCUAUAGAAUUAAUAUUUUAAGUUAGAGAUUAGCAUCCCAUAUGCAAUUAACUAUUGUUUUAAUUUAGAAAUAUAAUUACAAUGCAAAAGGUCAUAUUUUAGUUCUUGGAAACACAGUAUGCAAAAAAUGAAAAAGAUACAUACACAUACAUUAGGCUCUGAGGAUGUUUUAACAUUUCCUUUUCAGAAUAAAAUGCAAGAGAAUUUAAACAAUUAAAUCCAUCAAAUCACCAUUUAAAUUAUUACAGAAAAAAAUUUAUAUGCCUGCUUAUAUUACAGUUGAAAUUAUCUUGGAAAGUGUUUUCAAAUGAAGGAGACAUUGUUAUUUUUAGAAUUGUUUUAUUCUAUUUAAUCAAAUGUAAGUUAUAUUGAUCUUUAAUUAUUCUUCAGGUUAGACACUAUUCAAGAGUAUUAAUGUGAGGAAAUCGGCCUAUUUUUUUAUCUAGUUACAUGUUAAAUAUUUACCAACUUGAAUUAACUUCUCAUAUUAUAUUGUCUAUUUAUAAAAUCACUAAAAACUGCUAUAUGUUAUUUUAAAUAAUAUUUAUAUCAGUGGAUUGUUAAUGAAUUUAAGAUAAACCUUUAUUUAACAUACUGUUGAAAAGUGACAUUGGGUUACUAGCCAUAGACUACUUUGAUUUAAUAUGGAAAAAGAAAACUGAAAAGUAAAACUUUGAAAUUUGAAAAAUGUAAAUGAUUAACUUUGUAUCACUUCGGUUUUGUAUCGUAGACAUUAAUAAAACUUUAGUAUUUUGUGCCAUGAAGUCGGAAGUAAGUAUAAAACACAAAAGUUGCAUCCUGAAGGAGAAAGAUAGGUUGUCUCGAGGGAAAGCACUCAUUCACUUGUUAGAGAGGUAAGCUAAGCUAACCACUUUUUCAUGGAACACCACAUUUACCUCCAAAAAAACAAACUAUGACCAUUUAGAUUUACACAUUUGGCAGACUUUUUUUUUUUUUUUUUUUAGAAAUGAACAAAGUGAAUCUUUCAAUACAAGUGAAAGAAGUGAUAGUUGUUUGAUAAAAUUUGAACUUUCAAGCAAAUUUAGAAAAAUUUGGUCUGCUACUGUGAGCUUGACAGCUGCCAAUAAAUGAAGGUUUUCUUUGACAUAAACAGUGAUACUACUAGAAAAUCUCCAUUAUUCAUUAAACUUUUAUUUUCCAAAUGACCAAUGCAUGUUACAAGUCACGCAUUUCAAAGUGCAAGGUGAACCAAUGGAUUAUAAUAUUAAAACAAGAACAAAAAGGACAGUGGUAUACUUUCAAAUUCCACACUUCACUUUUAGGAAAUUGCCACUUCUCAUUUUUUUGUGUGUAUCAAAGAAAAAUAACCACAAUUAUAUUAAAAGACUAUUAAAAUAUGCCUGCCUUUUCCAAUUACAUAAGUUUUUCAGCUGGGUUUUAUUUUAUUUCU